UUGCUCGGCAUCCUUGGGCGUAAAGCGCACGUAGGCGGCCUGUUAAGUCGGGUGUGAAAGCCCUGGGCUCAACCCAGGAAGUGCACUCGAAACUGGCAGGCUUGAAUAUGGAAGAGGGUCGCGGAAUUCCCGGUGUAGAGGUGAAAUUCGUAGAUAUCGGGAGGAACACCAGUGGCGAAGGCGGCGACCUGGGCCAAUAUUGACGCUGAGGUGCGAAAGCGUGGGGAGCAAACAGG
rnacentral:rRNA from 1 species